rnacentral:misc_RNA from 1 species
GAUGAAGAACGCAGCAAAAUGCGAUAAGUAAUGUGAAUUGCAGAAUUCAGUGAAUCAUCGAAUCUUUGAACGCACAUUGCGCCCGCCAGUAUUCUGGCGGGCAUGCCUGUUCGAGCGUCAUUUCAACCAUCAAGCCCCCGGGCUUGUGUUGGGGACCUGCGGCUGCCCGCAGGCCCUGAAAACCAGUGGCGGGCUCGCUGUCACACCGAGCGUAGUAGCAUCAUCUCGCUCAGGGCGUGCUGCGGGUUCCGGCCGUUAAAAAGCCUCUAAUACCCAAGGUUGACCUCGGAUCAGGUAGGAAGACCCGCUGAACUUAAGCAUAUCAAUAAGCGGAGGA